rnacentral:rRNA from 1 species
GACGAACGCUGGCGGCGUGCUUAACACAUGCAAGUCGAACGGAAAGGCCCUGCUUUUGUGGGGUGCUCGAGUGGCGAACGGGUGAGUAACACGUGAGUAACCUGCCCUUGACUUUGGGAUAACUUCAGGAAACUGGGGCUAAUACCGGAUAGGAGCUCCUGCUGCAUGGUGGGGGUUGGAAAGUUUCGGCGGUUGGGGAUGGACUCGCGGCUUAUCAGCUUGUUGGUGGGGUAGUGGCUUACCAAGGCUUUGACGGGUAGCCGGCCUGAGAGGGUGACCGGCCAAAUUGGGACUGAGAUACGGCCCAGACUCCUACGGGAGGCAGCAGUGGGGAAUAUUGCACAAUGGGCGGAAGCCUGAUGCAGCAACGCCGCGUGCGGGAUGACGGCCUUCGGGUUGUAAACCGCUUUCGCCUGUGACGAAGCGUGAGUGACGGUAAUGGGUAAAGAAACACCGGCUAACUACGUG